ACACACACACACAGACACACACACACACACACUGCAGACCGCUACAAAUCACUAGCAUCCUCCCACCAGCUUCCAUGUAACCUCCUCCCAUUUCACCACGAGAGAGAAGCAUGGGAAUUGCACGAAUGAAUUGAAAGAGCAGUUCUCAAACAGUUUCACAACACACACAAACACACACACAUAUAGUCUUUCCCAAUUCCAUUCCUUUGCAGCACAGCUCACACACUCUAGUCUAGCACACACACACACACACACACACACGCGCACACACACACGCGCACACACACACACACACACACACACACACACACACAUAUAGUCUUUCUUUCCCAAUUCCAUUCCUUUGCAGCACAGCUCACACACUCUAGCACAGAAUCACUCAUCAUGUUCGUCUUGUUAACACCUCAAAGCCAUACAACAUGAGAAUACUAGAGCGCACACACACGCACACACACACACGCACACACACACACACACACACACACUGGUGUAAGCUGGGACCAGGUGGACUUUAUAAGGUCUGUUCUCAGUGUGAGGAGCUGUGGGAAACAGACCUGUCUCAAGACUCCCGCUGACACUGGCUCCAGCAGCAUCUUAAUUAAUGGGAAAUCACUGUUUUAAAGAGGCAUGGCAGAACUAUACUUUGUAUUGCCAAAGCAAUAGACAGACAACAUGACAAGUACAACCGAAAGCUGUUCUGAAGAAAAACCUCAGCCAGUCCCUCUUCUCUGCCUCUCACUCUGCAAUGGACAGAGACGAGCCAAGCGUGGAACUUCAGCAAAGUCUCUGGUUCACAGAGUAACCGGAGAUCGCCGAAUGCCACCUACCUUGAAGGAGAAGAGGCUUUUAACAGACGAACCAAACAACCAAGUGCAUCCUAUGAACCAUGUGCAAACUCCCAACACUCUGUAGAUGGACAUGUCAUGUAGUUCUGUAGUGACUGACAUCCUGAGGAGUAGACUGACACUUUCCGUCAGUGUUGUGAGCUCACUGUGUGUGAAUAUGCAUCAGUGCAAUCCAUCCAUCUUAUUUGGUGCGUGUGUGUGUGUGUGUGUGUGUGUGUGUGUGUGUGUGUGUGUGUGUGUGAAUUAGGGCUGAACGAUUAAUUGCAUUUGCGAUUUAAUCGCGAUAUGAUAGAACGCGAUUUUCUAACCGCAACGUUCGCGAUUAAAAAACGUGGUCUAAAAAAAAAAAAAAAAUUGUUAUUUUUUUUUUUUUUUUUAAGAUGGUACAUUUUGCACACAGUGUUUAAAAAUUGCAUGCCUAGUGUUUAUACUUAAAAUGACUUUUUUAAAAUUACUUAAAUGCACAGUGGCAAAGCCACCGAUUUGUUGUUCUUGUUUCUGUAAUGAGCAGUUAAAUAAAAAUGUAAAAUGUGGGAUAGAAUAUUUUACA
rnacentral:lncRNA from 1 species